AUGCUCAGGUCAGGGAGGGAAUGAGACCCCUGGGGAAGGGACUCCUCCCAGCUGAGGAGUUGAUUAGAAGCAAUCUUGGAGUUGGCAGGAGCCUUAGAGACUGCCUGAGCCAGUCCGGGAAGCUGGCUGAGGAGCUUGGGAGCAAGAGACUAAAACCAGCCAAGUUUGGGACAGAAGGGAAGGAAAGGGUUGAGCAGCGAACAGAGAGACAAAGAACAGGCAGUUCCAAAGAGCCAAGAAUGCAAAUCAUUUGCAGACGCCGCUGGCGAGAGCCUCCACCAAGGCUGCUGUGGGGGUGCCUGAUGCCACGAGCACAGCCACUUCUACACGUCACGCCUCCGCAGUCCUCUCUGCUUGAACUGUGGCUCCUGCAGAGAAAGCAUCAGAAUCUCCGGGGAACUGAUUGGAAAUGCACAUUCUCCAGCCCCGCCCAGAACUCCUGAAUUAGAAACCCUGGGGUGGGACAAGCAAGCCGUGCUUUCUGGGGCACAGGUGAUUCUGGUGUGUGCUGAAGUUUAAGAACCACUGGCCGAGAACAUUCUUAGGUCUGCUCUUCUUUUGCCCGGCCCCUCCCUCGCGGAGGAAUUCCUUCUUAUUCCUCUCUGAAGAGUGGCUGCUGCCAAAAAACGUUUGUGAGAUGGCCUGGGUUUUCUUUGUUGAUUUAUCAUUUAGUUUGGAAGAAAUCAGAAGUCUCUUUAAGAAGCCAAUUUGAAACAUUCACCCCAUGGGAACAGUUCUGGAUGAAGUCAGAAGAUCUGGAGGCAGCGCAGUAACACACGUAGGUUUUCUGGCCAUAUGGACAUUUCAGAGAAAACAACGCACAGAGGCCUGGAGCAGGUGAACUGGCUUAAGUAGAGAGAAACUAAGUCAUUUGGGGAUAUUUAGCACCUAAUGUCAAGGCAGAAAUGUCUAAGAUGUAAUUAACAGUUAUAUUCUAAUCUCAAUAGUAGCUAAGUACAGACUUAAACAUAAGCCUGUAUAUAACAAAAUAACCCCAGGAGAACCAAAGAAAAUCUAGAAGUUGCUGCUAAAAACAGUUAUGUUAGUGAUACCUAGGAAAGUUUUUUUUCUUUUAACAUGUCAUUGUGGUUUACAAAUGAAAAUUGAGGCCGGGCGUGGUGGCUCACGCCUGUAAUCCCAGCACUUUUGGAGGCCAAGGUGGGCGAAUCACAAGGUCAGGAGUUCAAGACCAGUCUGGCCAACAUGGUGAAACCCCAUCUUUACUAAAAAUACAAAAAAUUAGCUGGGCGUGGUGGUGGGCGCCUGUAAUCUCAGCUACUAGGGAGGCUGAGGAAGGAGAAUCGCUUGAACCUGGGAGGCGGAGGUUGCAGUGAGCCAAGAUCAUGCCACCGCACUCCAGCCUGGGCAACAGUGUGAGACUCCAUCUCAAAACAAACAAACAAACAAAUGAAACAAAUGAAAAUUGAAACUUCACCCAUUUAUGGCUAUUGCCUAAAGAAUUUAUAAAUGCCUGGGUCAUUGCAAGCAUAUUGCUGACAUGUCUCUCGGUCUGCGUUACCCUGGUGG
ensembl:lncRNA LINC03042 long intergenic non-protein coding RNA 3042